AGUGGAAAUUUGAAACUACUUCAAGAGUGUAUUCAACGCCUUUUGUUUUCCGUAACCACAACCAUACCAAUGAAAUGUUACUGGCAGCAGCAUCUACUGAUGGGAAACUGUGGAUCUUGGAAUCUAAGAGUGGACAGUUGCAAAUUUUUGAUACAUGAACGUUAGAAGAUGUGGUAGCUUCUGCUUCUACAGCCAUGGGACCCCUGAGCAGCACAUCAGUCUGGCCGGCUACUGGAGAAGAAAUGUGAUGAGGGAGCCAUGAGCUAAGACUACACUAAGAACCAAGGAAGCCAGUGAACAGUGACAGUCAAUGAUAUGGCCCCCAGCAUUCCAGCCGACUCCAGCUAUACACUGUGUUGCUGACCAUUCCCCUAAUUCUGCAGACAACUGUAGUAUCAUUUCAUUUGUUCAUUCAUUCACCAGUAGAAUCUCAAAUAUCAAACAUGCCAAAGUUCUUGGUGGCAAGCAAUAUAAGCUAAAUUUGGGCUAUUUUAA